UACGAAGGGGGCUAGCGUUGUUCGGAAUUACUGGGCGUAAAGGGCGUGUAGGCGGCCACCGCAAGUCGGUUGGGAAAUCUCCGGGCUUAACCCGGAAAGGUCAACCGAUACUGCGGGGCUAGAGUGCAGAAGGGGCAACUGGAAUUCUCGGUGUAGCGGUGAAAUGCGUAGAUAUCGAGAGGAACACCUGCGGCGAAGGCGGGUUGCUGGGCUGACACUGACGCUGAAACGCGAAAGCUAGGGGAGCGAACGGG
rnacentral:rRNA from 1 species